GACGCUGGCGGCGUGCCUAACACAUGCAAGUCGAACGGAGUUAAUGAUUUCGGUUGUUAACUUAGUGGCGAACGGGUGAGUAACGCGUGAACAACCUGACCCAAAGAGGGGGAUAACAUUUGGAAACAGAUGCUAAUACCGCAUAAGACCACGACGUCACAUGGCGAAGGGGUCAAAGGAGCAAUCCGCUUUGGGAGGGGUUCGCGUCCCAUUAGGUAGAUGGCGGGGUAACGGCCCACCAUGCCAACGAUGGGUAGCCGAGCUGAGAGGCUGAUCGGCCACACUGGAACUGAGACACGGUCCAGACUCCUACGGGAGGCAGCAGUGGGGAAUAUUGGGCAAUGGGCGCAAAGCCUGACCCAGCAACGCCGCGUGAGGGAAGAAGGUUUUCGGAUUGUAAACCUCUGUCGCAGAAGACGAAGGAAGUGACGGUAUUCUGUGAGGAAGCCCCGGCUAACUACGUGCCAGCCGCCGC
rnacentral:rRNA from 1 species